GUUUCGUUUGCGGGGUGGGGGAGGGGGGUGCUAAGCCUUUUUCUGCGAAAUAGUGCAGCUGGUUGCUCGUUUCUUGAAGCGAUUCGUGGAAUGCAGUACGGAAACAAACGUUGAUGAAAAUAGACAUGCUGAUUCAUAGGAAUUGUCGCGAAGAUGAUAAGUAUACAGUAGAUUCAAACAGUCAAGCUUAAACAUCGUUACCGAAAGGUUGUCUGUUUAUCCUGAGGAGAAUCGGCUUGGAAAAUAUUAUGGCGUCUUCUGAUCUUAUCAACGUUGCAGCCGACGCCAAUCAAGAAAUUCUGGAUAGAAUUAAAAAAGCGGAAGGCGACGAGGCGGAAUUAUUAAAGGAAACCAAUGUUACGGACAUGAUUAUGGACAGGAUUAAGAAGGCAAUAGUGGAAAAGAUAAAGAGCAAAGUGGAAGCCAAAAAGAAAAAGGAAGAAGAGUUCCAGCGGGCGAUUGAAGAAGCGCAGAGAAAUUUAAGCGAAAAAAGAAAAGACUUGGAUGACCAAAGCAAACCCAAGUUGCGCGUUUGGCCGUCAUUUUUCGGCCUAUUUGAAUCCAAUGAAGAAUCUGUUGAGAAUGCCCGGCAAACGUUAGAAGAAGCUGAAAAAAGAUUGAAGAAAAUCAAAGAAGAAGCAGAGGACAGUGACAAAAGGUUGAACGAAGAAAUUCAAAGGUGGCAAGCCAUUCCAAUUGAUGAGCUGGAAGAGUCCCUUCAACUGACGUUGGAAUCCACUAGGAAGAAAUCUUUCCCUCAGCCAAAGAGGUUCAAAAUCCCGCAGCCAUUUCUUGGAAAAGAUCCCAAUCACCCAGAGAUUGAAGUGGUUGAAUAUGUUGAGAAAGUAAAACCAAUUCAAGAACCUCAACAAGUUUCAAACUAUGUUACCUCUCCUAUUUCAUCGAAGGAAUUGCACCUUGAUAUUCCACAGCAUUCCAUUAAGAUAGAAGUAAUCGCUGCUGACCAGAUCUCUGGAGGUGAAGAACCUCAACAGAAAUCUUUCCCUCAGCCAAAGAGGUUCAAAAUCCCGCAGCCAGUUCUUGGAAAAGAUCCCAAUCACCCAGAGAUUGAAGUUGUUGAUUAUGUUGAGAAAGGAAAAUCAAUUCUAGAACCUCAACAAGUUUCAAACUAUGUUACCUCUCCUAUUUCAUCGAAGGAAUUGCACCUUGAUAUUCCACAGCAUUCCAUUAAGAUAGAAGUAAUCGCUGCUGAACAGAUCUCUGGAGGUGAAGAACCUCAACAGACACCCUCAAUCAAGGCAUCCCCCGUACCUGAAUCUGAGCAAAAUAAUGCAUCACCUGUACAUACACCUGAUCAAUCCGUUUUCAAUCAUCCAUGCCCUGCACAGAGCCCUGAUCAAGUGACAGAAAUCAAGCCAUCGCCAUUGUAUACAUCUUAUAGAGAAACAUCGCCUCCGAUGCAGCCAUGUAUUGCAGGGCCAUCAGGUGCAAAGAUCUUAAGCGGCGAAGAAAUGAACAGAACGGUGACUUCCACAACAUCUUUGUUUACUGGUGGUGGUUCACCCAUGGACGAGAAGUACAAGAGAUCGCAAUUAGCCUUGAUGAAACAAGCCUGUACAUCAGAGUUGAACCAGUCCAAAAAAACACAAGUAAAUGAGAGUGAUGACAGUUUCAGUGACUCUAGCUGCUCUAGUAUGCCUCUUUUGUUCCUAACGCAGGAAAUUGAUAGUGACGCCAGUUUCGAUGAUUCCCUUACUAUGCCUCAGUUGUUCAAAUCACCCAACUCGGUUGAUGAAACAGACAAGAGCCGUCCUUCGCCAGAUCUACAUUUUGAAGACUCAUUCGAUGAAGAACUAGAUUCUUUGGCAAAGAAAACAUGCUUCGUUUCUUGCAAUUCAGAGACGGAUUUUGGAUUGGAUACUCCCGCUUUGACUCCGCUUAAUCCUCUAACGGAUGAACUGGAAGCUGCAAUGGCCAAGCGGCAUGGUGAAUCUUUGAAUGAAGAACCCGAGGAGGAUAAAAUGCCUCCGUCAAGCAUGACGAAAAUAGUCAAAGAGCAAUCGACAGCCAGCCGCGUAGGGGAGAUCAACGAAGCAAGCUUUGAGGCAAAAUCUAAACCCAAGUCAACACCUAUCCCCAGGGCACUUUCUCGUCAUUCCAGAGAAAUGAAAGAGCUCUUCAAGGACCAGACGGUGCAGAAUAUGUUACGGGACAUCGAGGAACGCGGUUUAAACAAAAGACCAAUAUCUGCAAUUAACUACAAAGAGUUACAUUCUAAUGGUUCAGAUAAAGAAGUGCGAGCUCCUCGCCGUGGCAAACGCGCCAAAAAGGAUGACUCUAGUAUUGAUUAUGAGUUGACACCCCCAAGGAAGAAGAAGAUGUCACGAACAACUUCGACUCCUGUUGUGGAUUCAUCCCCACAAGAUCAAGCGCUACAGCAAUGGGAACCAAUUCUCAAUUCAACCAAUGAAGACAAAGUGGUUUACGUUCCUCGUAAACUGGCCAAUCCUGCUGAUAGCUCGGUAAUCGUUGGCCGACAAACUAUUUCCUCAGACCCCAGCGCCGACGGCAUUCAGAACAACAACCCGAAGACUCCACAUUCUCUAGAAGGAGCGCAGCGUUCCCCGUUGAGCGAUCAUUCUUACGCAGCUGUCGAAAGUUCGCAUGAGCUGGGAUCCGCCGACGAUUUAGUGUCCAAACUGAGCGCCAAAUGUCAGGAGAUUCAAAUCAGUUGUAGAGAUCAGCUGCUUUGUAUAAAACUCUGCCCCAGGACAUCUAUUUUACGCAACAGUCUGAAUUCUAAUAUUUUGAAAGAGCUGUCCUUGUUGUUGCGAAAGCUGAAAAUGGAGACAUCAAUUCACGUGGUCUUAAUCACCUCAUCUGGACCGGAUUUCUGCAACGGAAUCGACUUUCCUUCCCUUAUCCACGAGAAUAUGGCUCAAAGGCUGGAAUCAGCCAUGACCAUCGUGAGUAACCUCCAGGAGUUUAUUACGGAACUGGCCAACUGUGACAAACUGCUGAUUGGAGGCCUGGUGGGAUCUGUAAUGGGCUUGGGUGUUGCUAUGCUCCCUUACCUGGAUGCAGUGUACGCUUGUGAUAAAACCUCAUUUUGUUUGCCGUACGUCAAACUCGGACAAAGCUACGAAGGUGGCCUAUCGCUGACUCUUCCAUUGGUGUCCAGGAAUUUGGUUAAGUUGCUGUUCUGUGAAGGCCGACGUCUCACGGCCACGCAGGCUAAAGAUUAUGGCUUGAUACAAGACGUCUGUUUGCCGGAUAAUUUCGAAAAAGAAGUCGUGCUCCGCGCCUGUAAAAUCGCAGCCGAAUUUACCCAGAGCUCGCUGGACGGCAAGAGAAUGAGUCAGUCUUCACUCCGCCGUGACCUUCCUGACGUCCUAAAAAAAGAAUCGCAGCUGUUACGGCGAACUUGGAUUUCCGACGACUUCCAGCGACGAGCCAAGCAAUUAUACGCCAACGGAGAUUUGCUGUCGUCGUUGUAGAGCACCGCCUACGAGCUGCAAUUGAUCCAGUCGUCCCCAAAUCCAAAUUAACGACAAACCGGAACGUCUUCUCUGGCUGCCGCAUCGUAAUAGUCGCGUCGGAUCAUGACCAUGUUUAGAUUGGCCAGGCAACGGCGCAGGAUCAAAUUCAUGACCUAAACAUAACCAAAAUCGUCACUUAUCUAUUGGCAAACAUUUUAAUUAUUUUAAAAACUUACGCUGUUGUAAACAGGAUCGCCCGCCUGAAUUUCGUUUUUAAAAUCCAAGGUUAUUUUGACGUCAGUUUCAUCGGACGUCCGUCUCGACGCCAAUUCCAGCGGCUGUCGUAAAACAAUUGCAAAAAUGGAGUUGCCAUGGGAUCAUUUGACAUUUUGGAUAAUUUUAUACUUGGGCCAGACGAGUCGUGUUGUAGAGUAGAGUCCCGUCGAACACGUAUUUGCCCAGGGUUCUUUCGUGAACGCGAAUGAGAGCUUUUUUGACGCCGGGAUGGUCGAUUUCCGGUGUGAAAUCGACGCGGUAUUGCAACAAAUGCAUAUCCGGUUUCUUAAUCAACUGAAAGUAAUUGGAGCGCACAUCCAGCGGAGCUCCUCCCGAUCCUAAAUUUUAUGCAAACAAUUUUUUAACGUUUUUUAACAUUAUUCCAGGAAUUUGUUUUGUUAUUUUUUGAAAAUAUAACCAGUUUUGACGAAUGUCGGCGAGGGUCUUGUGACAACAUGCCGGUUGGCUUCUCGGUCUGGUGCCCUUUGGACUUCGAUGGCUGUCGCCCCUGCCACAUUCCCUGGGGUUUGAAUGGCUGCUGGAGCAGUCCCAACAGGUCCAGCAGUUGUCACCUGUGGUGCAGUUCGCACAGCUCCGCGUCCAAUUCCCUGUUGUUCGUAGGAAAAAUAGAAUUAGAUUUUAUUAAAAUACCUGGGCGGACCCUUUUGAAAUUCAAAUUUUUACCGCCCUUCCGUCAGUCAAAUUUCAGACUGACACAUUUUAAAAAGAAAAUCUAAAUUGUGGAAAGCAACAAGUUGACAGGUGACUCUGCCUUUUAUGGGGUAAAUAGACAAACAUACAACACAUGACCUUAGGGGAUUAUCUGCCUUAGGCUGUACGGAGGAAAGCUCCCAACAACAAACCAACUAACGUCUACCAGGUCUACCUGCGAAAUUGGCGGAUUAUCUCCUGGUCGUCUGGGCGCUUGUUGUGGCGGUGCAUUUGAACGUCCUCUGCCACCAGCUCUUUUUGUUGCGUCUGCCAUUCUUGACUCGCUCUGAUGAACUGAAUAUCCGCUUCCCAGAGGUUCUUGGCCGCGCUCACCCUCCGACAAAAACCCCUCCAGACAUACUACUACAACAACAACAAACACAACACUAUACGGUCAGUGGAAGACCAAGCCCCGCCCACAAUUUGAAAACCUUGGCUCAUCUCCCAGCGCCGCAAUUGCGGCCCAGUUGGAGUAAGUAGAAAGAGAAAGGCUAGCUCGAAUUUCUUGGUCGGGGUGAUAUGGGAAAUUGCUCUUUUCCCAAGUCAUCAAGUCAGCCGGGUGCGAUAUAUGGCGGCGCUAACUAUUUUUGGGGUUAAGGUCCAGAUGUUGGGAGACACACACGUGUACUGUGUCGACUCGCUAUUUUUUUCUUUGUUGGCGAUAAACAAUAUAAAGGCAGCUGCGCUAGGACCAAUGGGAUUUGGAAACGUUUAUACUGUUUUAUAUAUUUUCUUUACUGAGAAAUAAAAUUCGUUUGUACCGUUGGCUGUUUUGCAGUCAGGAAAAACAUGAGCGUUCUUUGAGGUCAUUACGCCCGUAAGGGAUUCGGGGAUUCCUAGUAGAAAAAUUUCUUUUAUUAAAAAAUAUUUUUGUGUUUUUUUUUUUACAAAGAUGCGUCUAUUUGGCUUGGGGGUGUUGCUUAUAUGUUUCGCUUUUGGUGAAGCUGUUUUCCAUAUUUUAAAAUAACGGAGAAGUUGAACUUGAUAUAUUUCGUUGGUUUCAUCUCAUUUUCCUGGAUGUUAAUACUUUGUAAAGAAAGUUAUUGUUUUUGGCACUGGGGUGUCAGAAUUUCGAAACAAAAAUAGUCAUUAAGAGGUUGUGAAUAUACAAGGAAAAUUUUUUUAUUGACAUUGACCACACACUCACACAGUUUUAGAUUACAUCGUUCGUUAGCUCUCGUCAAGUUAAUUAAGAGGACUUUUUGUGGUUUCAUCACGCCUUCUUGAUCAGGAAACUAUUAUUCGGUUUAAACAUGUUGAGAUGGUGUACUAUAUAGAUUGCCCAGUAUUUUUUUUUUACCUGAGUUCCGCAUUGUAGGUAGGCCGUCGCUCCGUAGGGUCUUCCAGGAGGGGGAAACUCUUUUAUAGGAAUGAAUCCAUCCUCCAUAUUUUCCCCGGAGGGGCUGGUGUAAAUCUUUCCUUUGUGUUCUGACCACAACAGCAGCCAUCAGCUGCAACGUGUACAAUAUUUAAAAGUUAUUUGAUAGUAUUCAACUCAUUUCUUUUGAACUUGUACCAUUUUCACCCGUAAAUUUAUGUCAAAUUAGUCACCUCUGUUGGGGUACCGGAUAUGACUUUGCUCAAUGGAAGAAUUCAACCCUCGAUAACAUUCGAAUUUAAACUUUCAAACGAUUCAAAUUUACUUAACCGUGUCUUAUAGGUUCCGACCUGCUGGAUUUGGAUAGGGGCCACCAUAAUAAAAAGCUUAGUUGAGUCUACCGUGUUGCUGAAAAUAGGGUGGAAAACACAACGGCGCAACAACCAUUGGACUAAUUUAUGUCUCAAAAUUUUGUAAUUGCCAAGUUUUAAGGAAGCCAGCAAUUACGUUGGGUAGGAAAGGCUUUAACAGUCAUGAGAUUAUUUCAGUGUAGGCCUUCCUUGGCUUUGUAGAACAGCAACACGAAAAUGAACAAAGAAAAGGUAUAGAUUUGGUUGUUCAGACAGGUUUUGAAGGUAAAGUUGACAUGGCAAUCUUGAUUGAUUUUUCAAGACUAACAAAAAUGUAUUUUCCCUUUUUCAGUUUCCAUCUUAUCCUUUGAAUCAUUUUUAACCGUCUAGCCCAUUUCCAGUUUUGUUUCAAAACUGCAUCUCUCGGCACUACAGCAUACAAAUGAGACACAUAUAGGCCGAGACAGCGUACAGACCCCUGGGAUCUUUUACAACAUAGUCUUUGACUUUGACAAUAAAUCCAACAGUUUGUUUUAGACCAAGUUUUAAACCAUCCAGACAUAUAUCUCAGCAGACGUUGGUCUCCAUGCAACUUUGGAACACUAUCGGAUUUCACAUGCCUAUACCCCGUUUCAAAUUUAAAAGUUGGUUCAAUUUCGUGUGUGUUUCAUUUUGCGCUAGUUUUAUUUUUUAUUUUAUUAUUUUAUUUUUAAAACAUUUUGGGGUUCGUGGAAAUGAAAAGGCGAAUAUGAGAAACGUGACCUCAACGAAUGUCUUGAAAUAGAUUUCAACAGAAGGCCAACUGGACGAACCAUAAAAUUUUAUCUGAUGGGAAAUUUGAUAAAGUUUUAAGAUAGGCUUUUUUGAUUAAUGAACACAUGCGCUGGAUGGUGAUUGCAAUUAUAAUCUACUGGUUUAAAUAAUGUGGGAAAUAUUGGGUGGUCUUCAUUUAAGAUGCUAUAUCCUAUAUUUUAGUUUAUACAAUAAUAAGGAAGAUAUGGUGCAGACAAGAAUGAAAAAGCGGAAACAGUAUCGAUCCAUUUGAUAGCGAGUUCAAGUUGGGAGAGGCCAUUCAAGCUCUUUGUUGGAUAAUGAUUCACGGCCGCUCAUUGGGGUGGCGACCCUCUGUUACCGAACAAAAUUUCCCCCCUUCUAAUUCGUUCCCAUGACUCAAUUCAGUAUAAUUAUGUGUAAUUUCUGGUCUCAAGUCUCGUAACCAGAGCCAUUUACUAAGUAAUGGCUCUGUCGUAACUAGCUGAUUUGUUUCCACAUUUCAGUUUGUCCAAGAGACUGUGGAAUUCGCCCUUUGGCAUGGCAACGGAUGGAAAGGCAAAAUUACAUUCGGCAACAGAGAGUCGGGUUCGGGCAGUUGGCACGAUAAGUGACUGUAAUUAGAGUAGAGCGUGACUCAAAUAGACCGUGAUCAUAUAAAUUGUCACGAUUUACGAUUACGAAUACAAAAUUCGAACAGCCCGCCGCGUAUUUUAACGAAUUUGUUUACACGUGGCAACGUCGCGCUUUUGUUUCAAAAUCUUUUCGGCUUUCACUGACGUUUCGAAUUUCGGCUGUUAUUUUGGAGCAAACAUUGUAUGUUUGUAUCAGUUGACGUAAUUCUAGAUAGAAAAUCUUUAGUUCUCUUUUAAACUUAAUUGACGGUUUGAAAAUGGCCGAAAGUGACGAAAAUGCACAAGAUCAAGUUGAUGAAGAGUCUCGCCUAAGUCUUCUCAAUGAUGCACUAGACCAAGCCUCCAAAAAAAUCAUGAACAAAAUUUUAAGUCAAAAGGCUUUUGCAGAAUGUCUUCCGUUUUUGAAAAGGAAAACUCUCGCUCUGUUGCAUACCAUUUUUGGUCAAAAAUUACAGUCCAAAUUAAAGGAAGAAAUUGACGAUCUUUUUUCAUUUCUUAAUCUAAAAGAGAAGCUUGAUUUUCUUGAUAAAAUUGACUUAGAACAAGCAGAGUUAUCUCAGGGUGAAACUGUCUGGAGACCGACGGGAGAUCCAUCUAAGGAUAUGCUGGCUUACGACAUGCCUGCCUUGCAGUCACAUAAAGAAGAACUUUUGUCAUCUCUAAAAGAACUUCAAGCGGAAAAUGAGAAUGAAAAGAAAAAGAUCCUCAAAGUUGUGGAAGGCAUCAGUGAAACUGAAAAACAAAUCGAGGGACUAUUGAUUAAGAAUGAGAAAACACUCAAAGUUUUAUCCAGCUUUCCAAGUUUAUAAUCUCAAUGUAUUUUUUUUAUUCUGUACAUUACAUCAAAUUUCCCCAA
rnacentral:misc_RNA from 1 species